CCCAAAGUGCUGGGAUUACAGGCGUGAGCCACCAUGCCUGGCAUUUUUUUUUUUUUUUAAGUAAAUACUGCCAUAUGAGUCAGAGCUUGUACUCUCUCUGGGCACUACCUAUGAAUUUUGGUUAAAAGGAAUAGACUGGCUGGGCACAGUGGCUCAUGCGUGUAAUACCAACACUUUGGGAGGCCAAAGCCAGAGGAUUGCUUGAGGCCAGAAGUUCGAGGGGUGAGAGUGAGACUGUAAGAAAGGACGGGGGGAAAGGAAGGAAACGAGAAAAGAAAGAAGGAAAUGAAGGAAAGGGAAAGGGAAGGAAAUAUAUAUAAUUUCAUUUUUUAAAGGGGUAGGAAAAAUUAGGGGUGUAACCGCCAAUCUGCCUUUCCACAUCAAAUUUUUUGAGGUGUGGGGAAAGGCUCUUUUAAAAUGUCUUUUGAAAAUUACAUAUACUAACACUUUAUUUGGGGGAAGAAGGAAAAUAGAGGACUACUGCAUUAAAUAGUAAUCCUGACACCAAAAGCAGAGGGCCAGCCUUCCUUUCCCCCCAGCUCAGGGCUGACUCUCUCCCGCUGGCUGUUUUCCUCCCUGUAAGAGGUGUGAGAGUGGCUGUUUUCCAGGGCAGUCCCAGAGUAGCCAGGCAGUCUGCCUUCAAAUCAGGCCAGGCAGGUGGGGCCCAGAGCUGGUGUAACCAAGGUAAGCAAGACAUCAUCAGCUGGCAUUUUUCUGCCAAGACUGAAAGUUCAGUCCUGCUUUCUGCUGCCUCCCCAGAUGGCAUGCACUGAAUUAGCAAAUCAUGGCUGGGAUUGCAGGCAUGGCUUGUGGUCUGGGACUAAGAGCUAGUAAUUUCCUUAGUACCAAGUCACUCUACUAUCUGGCUGAGGGCUGUUUGUUUGUUUGUUUGUUUGUUUGUUUUUAAGAAGGAGUCUUGCUCUGUUGCCAGGGUGGAGUGCAACGGCAUGAUCUUGGCUCACUGCAACCUCUGCCUCCCAUGUUCAAGUGAUUCUCCAGCCUCAGCCUCCCAAGUAGCUGGGAUUACAGGUGCCCACCACCACGCCUGGCUAAUUUUAUAUUCUUAGUAGAGACGAGGUUUCACUUUGUUGGCCAGGCUGAUCUCGAACUCCUGACCUCAGGUGAUCCACUUGCCUCAGCCUUCCAAAGUGCUGGGAUUACAGGUGUGAGCUACUGCGCUUAGCCAGAGGGCUGUUUUUAAAAAGCAUUAUUUAUUAUUUAUAUCCUACCUGUUUCCAAAAGAGAUUUCUGGCAUAUUCCAAAGUCACAGCACAAGAUUGGUGAGUAAAAAUUCAUAUAGCCUCAUGGAGGACAGUACUUUCAAAUUUUUAAAUGCAUAUAUUGUUUGAUCCAGUAAUUCCUUAAAGGAAUUCCCUAAAGAAACACCUGCACAUACGCACAAAGAUAUAUGCAUAAGCAUGUUCACUGCAGCAGUUUGUACUGGCAAAAAAUGAGCAGUAUCUUAAUGUUCAUCUACAGGGGAUUGGUAAAAUCAAUUACAAUCUAACCAUAAGAUACUGUACAGCCCUUGAGUGAGGAAAAUCUCUAUGUACUGACCCAUCUAUAUGAACUACCUCUCUAAGACAUAUUAAGUAAAAAUGGCACAGAAUGAUAUGUAUGGUAUAUUCCCACUUGUUUAAAAAGACUCUGUGUGUGUGUGUGUGUGUAUAUAUAUAUAUAUGUAAAUACAUAUAUAUGUAAAUACAUUUACACACAUAUAUGUAAAUACAUUUACAUAUAUAUUACAUAUAUAUAAAUACAUAUAUACACAUAUAUAUAUGUAAAUACAUUUAAAAUGAAAGAUACACACCAGAAUGUCCUCUGUAUUAUCCUUUAGGGAUUAGAGGGAUAGGGAAGAAAAUGAUUUUUCAGGCCAGGUAUGGUGGCUCACACCUCUGAUCCCAGCACUUUGGGAGGCCGAGGUGGGCGGAUCACUUGAGUCCAAGAGUUUGAGACCAGCCUGGGCAACAUGGCAAAAUCCUGUCUUUACAAAAAGUAUAAAAAUUAGCUGGGUGUGGUGGCUGCACACUGUAGUAGUCCCAGCUACUCAGGAGGCUGAGGUGGGAGGAUCGCUUGAGCCUGGGAGGUCAAGGCUGCAGUGAGCCAAGAUCUUGCCACUGCACACCAGCCUGGGUGACAGAGCAAAACCCGGCCUCAAAAAGAGGAAAAAAAAAAAGAAAAAGAAAAGAAAAUGAUUUUUCACAUUUUGCACUCCUAACACUUUUUUAAGAAUUUAUUUCUGUAUAUAUUUAUAGAUCUUUAUAUCACCAAGUCUUAAAAGUUACUUUUUCAGAGAAAUAAUAAAACCUCCAUGUAAUCAUAGAUUCAUCAGUUAUCAAUACUCAAAGGUUCCUCUUUAAAACUAGUAUAUCAUGGCACUAAAAGCACAGAUUUUGGGGUCAAACAGCAUUGGGUUCCAGUCUUUGCUCUGCCAAUUACCAGCUAUGUGACUCUGGCCAGGUCGUUUCUCUCCUGAGGCCUUUGUGCCUUCAUUUAUAAGUCAGGCUAGUCACAGGUCUUUCCUAGGAUUGUUAUGAAGAGACACAAAACGGCAAGAAAAAGCACUGUACUGGUGCCAGGAAGAGUGUCCCAUGAAUGGUCACUAUGACAAUAUACACAAGUGGCCUCUUUCUCCACGCCCCCUCUGUUGAGGGCAGGCACACAGGGCAGGCGCAUGGGGCAGGGAGAAGCCAUGGAUCCAGGUGAGAGAGUGCAGUGACAAAGCAAGUGGAGUUAUUUCGUACUAAUGUUAAGUGGUUAGGAACAAACAAAACUGAGACUCUUGGGCCAGGGUGCUGCAGCGAGGUGCUUGUGGCCUUAGGUUGUUGGAGAGCAGAGGCAAGCCCGCUCCAGGACCUCCAUGCUCCGCCUCCUUUCUGCCUUGACCCCUCACCACUGCGAUAGCAAUGAGCUUUCCAGUAAGUACUAGAAAAACUCAUCUCUCUUCCUUUAUGGGGGAUGGGGGGUACUAAGUAUGGAGAAAGGUCUCACCGGCUCCAGCCAACCGGGAGCCUGAUUUCCUUAGUAAGAUUAAGAUCUGGACCCACAGAGUGGUCCAACCCAACCCCGGUACUUGGCCCAAGAUCUUCUGUCAGACAAUUUCCCUCCCUGUAACUCCCUAGAGCAGGAGUUCUUCAGGUCUCUUCCCCAUUUGGCAGCUCAUGCAAAGCUACUUGAAAUAGUAACAACGAAAUCUGAAUUAGGAAAGAACUCCAGUUAUGGGUGGGCUCAGCCUAAGAAAGAGGCUCUGUGGGCCUCCUGGCUUGUUUGGGCCCUGAGAACAGACUCCAUCAACAAUGGCCUCACUCUUGGGGCUGCACACUGAAUUCUGCCCUUCAAGGGAUAACUGAGGGAGGUAGGCCAAACUCCUGUUCCUCCACCUCCACCCCUCCCUACCCCUGCAAGCCAGCAGUCUCCAUUCCCACUCGGAGAAAUCCCGCAGGUAGGCUCUGGAGCCAUGCCACCCAGCACCAUGAAGAAAUGGAUGGCAGCAGAGGGUAAUGAUGGAGAGCAGGAGUCCUGGUUUAAAACCCCAGCUCCGCCUUUUGUUGGUUGUGCUACCUUGUGCAAGUCACUUCAUCUCUUAAAGGGGAAUAGCAACUGGUUUGUUGAAGAUAAAAGAGAGAUAACAUGUGGAAAAUGCUGGGCAUUGUGCCCAGCCCAUUUCAAGGACUCAGUAAUGGACAGCUGUAAUUAUCUUUACAGCUUUAAAGAGCUUGGGGCUUUGAUGGCAAACAGACUGAAUUUGAACCCUGGCUUGACCAGACCAUUUACUACAUUAGUCUGGGUUGAAAUGACCAGGAAGGGUUUUACAGAAUGAUUCCCCUAAGCAAACAUCCCAGAGAGAAGAAAAGCAAAAGACACACAGCUAAAUGGACAACAGUUCCCAGCCUCGUCACAGGAGAACUCUUUGGAGCCAAGUGAACCCCUGGGUCUCCUUUUUCCCACCCCAUCACUUCAGCGCUUUGAGAUCAAGUUCGAACUCAGUCCCAACACAGAGUGUCACUGCAAAUUGUUUAUUAAAACACAAAGCAAUGGACAGUGAAAAA